UGACUGAGAACAUCUAGGCCUCAACAUAGAUGGAAGAAAACUAAGCCAAUUAAGAUAUGCGGACAAUCUGGUUCUACUAGAAGAAAAUUCAAAAGCACUCGAUAAGAUAGGUUUAAAGAAUUUAUUUCUCAUAAAAACAUAACGUUCACUUAUAAUGAGAUACAAUCAAUAUUCUAUAGGAUGUAACAAUUUUUACCUCUGGAGCGACUAAUCGAAAUAUUUACAAUUACAUUACAUUGUAUACAAAA